rnacentral:rRNA from 1 species
CCUACGGGAGGCUGCAGUGGGGAAUAUUGGACAAUGGGCGAAAGCCUGAUCCAGCCAUGCCGCGUGUGUGAAGAAGGCCUUCGGGUUGUAAAGCACUUUCAGUGGGGAAGAAAGCCUUGGGGCUAAUACCCUCGAGGAAGGACAUCACCCACAGAAGAAGCCCCGGCUAACUCCGUGCCAGCAGCCGCGGUAAUACGGAGGGUGCGAGCGUUAAUCGGAAUUACUGGGCGUAAAGCGCGCGUAGGCGGUCUGAUAAGCCGGUUGUGAAAGCCCCGGGCUCAACCUGGGAACGGCAUACGGAACUGUCGGGCUAGAGUGCAGGAGAGGAAGGUAGAAUUCCCGGUGUAGCGGUGAAAUGCGUAGAGAUCGGGAGGAAUCCCAGUGGCGAAGGCGGCCUUCUGGACUGACACUGACGCUGAGGUGCGAAAGCGUGGGUAGCAAACAGGAUUAGAUACCCCGGUAGUC